UUACAACAAGCAUUAUCAAGAAGAAGAACGAACAACGCACGUAUACACAUAAAUUAAAGAAAACAAAAGCGAGUGGAAAUAAAAGAACAUGGUCCCGCCGGCAAAACAAAAUAAAGAAAAGCUAUAUAACUUGGAGCAGUUCAGAACGCAGAAUCCUUCUGGAAAAGCGCAUUGACAAGGAUGUUUGGUUCA